CCGUCCUAGAAUAGUAAGUGCAAACGGGUUCAUCAGCUGCAGUCUGGAAAUGCACUAUUUAAGUACCUGGAAGAUUCACAGGAUUGAGUCUGAAAGCAGUGAUCUUUUUAAAAUUUUUCUAUUUUAGCUAAAGGCAGGCAGUAACAUAACUCAAAAUUAACAGCUGAAAGAAUGGACAUGGCAGCAAUUCAGAAUUUUUUUUUAAACGAGACUAUAGAACUAAAGCACCCUUUAUAAACCAUGACUGUUCUUGUUUGCUAGUUUAGGAUAACCUCUAGUUUAAAAUCUUGAGUAGUCUAACUUUUUCAUCUUCCAUGCUCAUUUCUAGAUUUUCCAAAAUUGUACAUUUCUUUAUGAAAUUAGUGGGGCUUUUACCAUUGCGUGACCUGUGGCAACUAGAUACUGCAAACAUCUUUCAUUUACAUUUUUAUUUUUUUUUUCUUACCUGGUUUCUGAGAUGUGUAUGCUGACUCUCAUUGACCUGAAGAGAGAUAAAGCUCCGACUAGGGAACUAGGCAUCAGUGCUCUACCAUCACGCGCACAGACGAUCUUGUACACAGUGACACUGGCAAGUCGUCUCCGUCCUGUGACAGGCACGAGAGGCCAUGUCCUGAUCCAGCAGUCCCACUCCUGGGCUUAUGUCUGGAGGAAGCGCUAAAGGAAAAAGAGAUGUGGUGUCUUCCUUCUAAGAGAAGUAUGCCAGAAAGAAAGAAAACGUGCCGUAUGCUAUCAUGUCUUUGGGGAAUGUGAAAUACGACACCAAUGAAGUAAUCCAUAAAACACAGAGACCAGUGGCGGAGGGGCUGGGAAGGGAUACAGUGGGAGGUUGAGAUUUGCAGAUACUGACUACUGUCUGUCUAUACAAUA